GUAGGAUUGUGACACCCAACACAGUGGGCACUCAAUAAAUGUCUGUUGAAUUGAAAUGCGUUACAUUCAACGGGUAUUUAUUGAGCACCCACUCUGUGCCAGACGCUGAGCGGGGCG
rnacentral:precursor_RNA from 1 species